AGAGAGAGAGAGAGAGAGAGAGAGAGAGAGAGAGAGAGAGAGAGAGAGAGAGAGAGAGAGAGAGAGAGAGAGAGAGAGAGAGAGAGAGAGAGAGAGAGAGAGAGAGAGAGAGAGAGAGAGAGAGAGAGAGGUCAAAAGGAUCAGAAGCAUGAUGAGGUCUUCCUUCGGCUGGUGUGUAAACUCCGGUGUUUGUUUUUCUCUGGGUGGUGUGAACUCUCCUGGGCAGCCUGCUGGAGAGAGACAGGCCGUGUCCGAGCUGGGAGCCCCAGACCAGCAACCAGGAGUGGAAGCCGGGUGUCCUCCCAGACAUCUACUCCACACCAGAGAAGAAGUGCUCCACUGGAGGACUUCACCCUCUCCCUCGCCUGAACCAAUCAGAGCCCAGCCAGAGCACCAGUGCACUCCCUCCCCAGGCAGAGGGCCAUGGUUCCCCCCCUGUGGGUCCUGGGGAGGCACCACAGCUCUGCAGCCACCAUGAUGCUACGGAGACAGCAAGCAGGAGCCACACUCCAGUCCCCCUAUCCAUGGAGGACGUGUACGAGAGGAAUCCUUCCGGGGUGGUGCUUGCAGGGGGUCUGCUGUGGUGGAACUAUGCCAGGGAUGAAGAAAGCUGAGGGCUCCAAGAUGACGUCACCAGGACACACACCUCCGAUGAAGAUGACGCACAACGCUGCCCUUUAUUGCCCAUUUGAAAAGGACAUUUUUGAUGCCAGAUAAUAUUUCAUUUGGCAAGGAUCAUGAGUUCCUGAAUCUUUUCAAUUGCUCGGAUUGAGGUCUUAAAACAUAUUUUAACUGUAGACUAUAAGACUGCAUAAGAACAUACGUAUAUUAAAGCAAAUAAUCAAUUACCAAGGAACCUGUAAAUUUGGAUUUGACCAGUUUACUGUCAAUAUAAGAGUAUUUGGAAAAGAGAAACAUCUUACUUCACUGUCUCGGAUUAAAAAAUAUUUCAGAUUAUU